CUAGUGUUUUUUGGAGAUUUAUUAGAUUCUGAAAAUCGGCCAGUCAAACUACAAACCGAUAAGAAUCACGGUUCAAUCAUAUGUCAAAACCGCAAAAAUAGAAAAUUGGAGUUGAACCGUUAAACCGGUGGAAACUGGUCUAUUAAACCGAACACCUGACGGAUUUUCUGAAUUUGACCAAAAACACUGCCGUUUUGUGAGCUGAUCCCCUAACCCCCUAACCAUUACCAACCCAGCAACCCUAAUUCACUACAACGGAGCAGCAGCAGCACACACUCCCUCCCUCCCAUCACCCUCGACCUCGUUGUUCCUUUCAACGCAGCGAGCUCACUCCCUCACUUCCGUUCAGCCGCCGGACUGCUCCUUCCGCCGUCGCAAGUUGGAGCUUCGAAGCUCACUCGCUCACUCCUGCUCGUGCAGCUAACGUUUCAGCAGCGGAAGCACAGUCGCCGGGCUCGCCUUCUGCCUCCGUCGCGAAGCUCUGUUCCACCGUUGCUGGCGCCAUCUCUGUUCCACCGGUCAGCGCUGCUCCCCCUCUUGCUCAGGAUCUGCUCUGCUCUGUUCUAUGCUUCUAGCUUCUAGGUAUUUUUUCAAAACAAUAAUUGUUGAAUAAUCUGUGAACUUGUUAUGGAUUGAAAAUUGUUAAUUAAUCUGUGAAGAGGAGAGCGUGAGAGAGAGGGGGUGAGGAUUACGCCAGGAGCAUUUUUGGUAUUCCAGAAAAAAAGAGAGCAAAUUAGAGAAGGAUAGUGUAUUUUGGGUUUCUUUUUGUUCACUGCUUGGAACUUUGUUGCUGAGAAUUGUACAUGUCUAAAGAUGUGCCUUCUGAUAUAAUGAUUUGCUAAAUUGUCUGACAACUGUAACAGUCUAACUACAUUGAGUAGCAUUAUGCUAGACUAUCAUUUUUUGGUUUCAACUUUCAAUUUUUCUUCAAGAGGAUUUACUUGAGUGAUAAUCCUUGUUAAUCUUUGAAAAAGUUUGUUAAUUUUUGUUAAAAUUCUGAUUGGUAUAUUGUGUCCUGAAAAUAUUACUAUCUUUUUCUUUUGUUAAAUGAUGUUGAUUUGUUGAAUGUAGUCAGUCUUUUAUCAGGGAAAGAACAAAUUGGUUAAUUCAAUGAUGACUAUUCUGAUGAGUUCAAUAAUAAUCAGCCUUGCUGUAUGCUAGUGGUAGAAGACUUGAUAUGAGGAUUUGGACAUCGUAAUGAAUAUCCGUUCUCUGUUCUUAGUUCUGAUCAGAGCAUUGAUUUUUUUUGGGAAUUCUGCUAGUGCUACUCAUAUUGAAAUUUGAAUCAUCGAAUGGUUAGCUCUGUUUUGGAUUGAAUGAUUACUGAUUAGUUGAUUCAUUUUGGUUCUGUUUUCGUUCUUUGUAUUGUGCUGUGUUCUUGCUUUGAAUAAUUAGCUUUGCUCAUUGCUGUUGUACUGUGAUGUACUCUGUUUUGUUA